AACGAACGCUGGCGGCAUGCCUAACACAUGCAAGUCGAACGAGACCUUCGGGUCUAGUGGCGCACGGGUGCGUAACGCGUGGGAACCUGCCCUUAGGUUCGGAAUAACUCCCCGAAAGGGGUGCUAAUACCGGAUAAUGUCUUCGGACCAAAGAUUUAUCGCCUUUGGGUGGGCCCGCGUUGGAUUAGCUAGUUGGUAGGGUAAAAGCCUACCAAGGCGACGAUCCAUAGCUGGUCUGAGAGGAUGAUCAGCCACACUGGGACUGAGGCACGGCCCAGACUCCUACGGGAGGCAGCAGUGGGGAAUAUUGGACAAUGGGCGAAAGCCUGAUCCAGCAAUGCCGCGUGAGUGAUGAAGGCCUUAGGGUUGUAAAGCUCUUUUACCCGGGAUGAUAAUGACAGUACCGGGAGAAUAAGCUCCGGCUAACUCCGUG
rnacentral:rRNA from 1 species